rnacentral:rRNA from 1 species
UUGAACGCUGGCGGCAUGCUUUACACAUGCAAGUCGAACGGUAACAGGUUAAGCUGACGAGUGGCGAACGGGUGAGUAAUGCAUCGGAACGUGCCCGAUCGUGGGGGAUAACGCAGCGAAAGCUGCGCUAAUACCGCAUACGAUCUGAGGAUGAAAGCGGGGGACCGUAAGGCCUCGCGCGAUCGGAGCGGCCGAUGUCAGAUUAGGUAGUUGGUGGGGUAAAGGCUCACCAAGCCGACGAUCUGUAGCUGGUCUGAGAGGACGACCAGCCACACUGGGACUGAGACACGGCCCAGACUCCUACGGGAGGCAGCAUUGGGGAAUUUUGGACAAUGGGCGCAAGCCUGAUCCAGCAAUGCCGCGUGCAGGAAGAAGGCCUUCGGGUUGUAAACUGCUUUUGUACGGAGCGAAAAGGCUCUCUCUAAUACAGGGGGCUCAUGACGGUACCGUAAGAAUACGCACCGGCUAACUACGU